UUGGUGUGUUUUUCCUAUUUACUUUGGCGUUGGUUUGAGUCAUUUACGAUUAUUUGUUUUUGAGUUAGUGUGCAAUUCAUUGGGGAGAUUUUGACUCAGACGGACUUUAAGGCUCUAUAACUCACAAUCACUAAUGUAAGAGAGU